GGUAUACGAUGGACCCGCGUCUGAUUAGCUAGUUGGCGGGGUAGAGGCCCACCAAGGCGACGAUCAGUAGCCGGCCUGAGAGGGUGACCGGCCACAUUGGGACUGAGACACGGCCCAAACUCCUACGGGAGGCAGCAGUGGGGAAUAUUGCACAAUGGGGGGAACCCUGAUGCAGCGACGCCGCGUGAGUGAAGAAGUAUUUCGGUAUGUAAAGCUCUAUCAGCAGGGAAGAAAAUGACGGUACCUGACUAAGAAGCCCCGGCUAACUACGUGCCAGCAGCCGCGGUAAUACGUAGGGGGCAAGCGUUAUCCGGAUUUACUGGGUGUAAAGGGAGCGUAGACGGUUAUGCAAGUCUGAAGUGAAAGCCCAAGGCUCAACCAUGGGACUGCUUUGGAAACUGUAAAACUGGAGUGCAGGAGAGGUAAGCGGAAUUCCUAGUGUAGCGGUGAAAUGCGUAGAUAUUAGGAGGAACACCAGUGGCGAAGGCGGCUUACUGGACUGUAACUGACGUUGAGGCUCGAAGGCGUGGGGAGCAAACAGGAUUAGAUACCCUGGUAGUCCACGCGGUAAACGAUGAUCACUAGGUGUCG
rnacentral:rRNA from 1 species